AAAGGAAGGAAGAGUGGUAGUGUGCACGGAGAGCGGAGCAUGUCUGCUCUUCGUGACGCCUUCGGGCAUUGAUCGUACGGGCCUGAAUUUGACCCACAUUU